UUGCACGCUGGCGGCAUGCUUUACACCUGCCAGUCGCACGGCAGCGCGGGCUUCGGCCUGGCGGCGAGUGGCGAACGGGUGAGUAAUGCAUCGGAACGUGCCCAGUAGUGGGGGAUAGCCCGGCGAAAGCCGGAUUAAUACCGCAUACGACCUGAGGGUGAAAGCGGGGGACCGAAAGGCCUCGCGCUAUUGGAGCGGCCGAUGUCGGAUUAGCUAGUUGGUGGGGUAAAGGCUUACCAAGGCGACGAUCCGUAGCUGGUCUGAGAGGACGACCAGCCACACUGGGACUGAGACACGGCCCAGACUCCUACGGGAGGCAGCAGUGGGGAAUUUUGGACAAUGGGGGCAACCCUGAUCCAGCCAUGCCGCGUGCGGGAAGAAGGCCUUCGGGUUGUAAACCGCUUUUGUUCGGGAAGAAAUCCUCUGGGCUAAUACCCCGGGGGGAUGACGGUACCGGAAGAAUAAGCACCGGCUAACUACGUG
rnacentral:rRNA from 1 species